CCCGCAUGAUGAUAUCACGGCAAGUUUGAUGAUCCGGUCAGACCAAGAGAUUGUUGCUUCUAGCCUGCUGUUAGAUGGGUAAUCUUGGUGAUGUGGUGGAGUUUUAUUGCACUACUGUAAGGGCCCAACCACAGUUAACUUGUCAUCUUCGAUGACCUCUGCCCCCCCCAAGAGCAAUGGGACGGGUCAGGUAGGAGAUGUCAGACAAUGUGCGGAUGUUUGUUUGUGUGUGUGUGUUGCUGUAUGAAUGUAUAUGUAUCAGCUGGCAAGAAGCUAUAAUCUAUAGUUGGUUUGGCAAUAAUGAACUACAUUCUUUGGUAACCUGAGGGC